ACUGCCCUGAAAGACAGCGGAGACCAGGACAACUAGAGUCCCAGAUACAGAUCCCCUGUAAAGACCUUGUCUCAGAGGACCACCAGGACAAGACCACAGGAAACAGAUGAUUCUUCUGCACAAUCUGACUUUGCUGCAGCCUGGAAUUGAACUACUGGUUUCGUCUGGUCAGAGGAGAACUGGCCCCCAACUGAGCCUGGUUUCUCCCAAGGUUUUUUUCUCCAUUCUGUCACCGAUGGAGUUUCGGUUCCUUGCCGCUGUCGCCUCUGGCUUGCUUAGUUGGGGUCACUUCAUCUACAGCGAUAUCGUUGACUUGAUUGCAAAUUAAAACAGACACUAUUUCAACUGAA